rnacentral:tRNA from 1 species
GCAGUGGUGGUUCAGUGGUAGAAUUCUUGCCUUCCAGGCAGGAGACCAGGGUUGGAUUCCCAGCCAGGGCA